GGUUGUGAGUGCCGGGUCGCGCCUGCCAUCCUUCUAGACAGCGGCUCUACCCCUCACGGGGCCGGAGUUUGCCAUCUAGAUCUUUUACUUUGAACAAAUUAGAGUGUUUCAAGCAGGCUUUUGCUAUGAAUACAUUAGCAUGGAAUAAUCAACUAGGACUUCGGUUCUAUUUUGUUGGUUUCUAGGACUGAAGUAAUGAUUGAUAGGGAUAGUUGGGGGUGCUAGUAUUCAGCGGCCAGAGGUGAAAUUCUCGGAUUCGCUGAAGACUAACUAAUGCGAAAGCAUUCACCAAGUAUGUCUUCUUUAAUCAAGAACGAAAGUUGGGGGAUCGAAGACGAUCAGAUACCGUCGUAGUCUCAACCAUAAACUAUACCGACUAAGGAUGAGUGAACGUUGCAUUUUCGACUUCAUUCGCACCCUAUGAGAAAUCAAAGUCCUUGGGUUCCGGGGGGAGUAUGGUCGCAAGGCUGAAACUUAAAGGAAUUGACGGAAGGGCACCACCAGGAGUGGAGCCUGCGGCUUAAUUUGACUCAACACGGGGAAACUUACCAGGUCCAGACACAGUGAGGAUUGACAGAUUGAAGAUCUUUCUUAAUUCUGUGGGUGGUGGUGCAUGGCCGUUCUUAGUUGGUGGAGUGAUCUGUCUGGUUAAUUCCGUUAACGAACGAGACCUCGACCUGCUAACUAGUACAGUCGACUCUUCGGGGUCGGCUUCUGACUUCUUAGAGGGACUAUCGG
rnacentral:rRNA from 1 species